GCCAGUGUGGUGUAUUGGCUUAAGCGCUGGAUUACAACUCUGGAGACCAGGGUUCAAGUCCCUACUUGGCCA